rnacentral:rRNA from 1 species
CUCCUGAUGGUUAGCGGCGGACGGGUGAGUAACACGUAGGCAACCUGCCCUCAAGACUGGGAUAACUACCGGAAACGGUAGCUAAUACCGGAUAAUUUAUUUUGCAGCAUUGUGAAAUAAUGAAAGGCGGAGCAAUCUGUCACUUGAGGAUGGGCCUGCGGCGCAUUAGCUAGUUGGUGGGGUAACGGCCCACCAAGGCGACGAUGCGUAGCCGACCUGAGAGGGUGAACGGCCACACUGGGACUGAGACACGGCCCAGACUCCUACGGGAGGCAGCAGUAGGGAAUCUUCCGCAAUGGGCGAAAGCCUGACGGAGCAACGCCGCGGGAGUGAUGAAGGUUUUCGGAUCGUAAAGCUCUGUUGCCAAGGAAGAACGUCUUCUAGAGUAACUGCUAGGAGAGUGACGGUCUUGAGAAGAAAGCCCCGGCUAACUACGUGCCAGCAGCCGCGGUAAUACGUAGGGGGCAAGCGUUGUCCGGAAUUAUUGGGCGUAAAGCGCGCGCAGGCGGUUCUUUAAGUCUGGUGUUUAAACCCGAGGCUCAACUUCGGGUCGCACUGGAAACUGGGGAACUUGAGUGCAGAAGAGGAGAGUGGAAUUCCACGUGUAGCGGUGAAAUGCGUAGAUAUGUGGAGGAACACCAGUGGCGAAGGCG